rnacentral:rRNA from 1 species
UACGUAGGGUGCGAGCGUUGUCCGGAAUUAUUGGGCGUAAAGAGCUCGUAGGCGGUGUGUCACGUCGUUCGUGAAAACCUGCAGCUUAACUGUGGGCGUGCGGUCGAUACGGGCAUCACUGGAGUUCGGCAGGGGAGACUGGAAUUCCUGGUGUAGCGGUGAAAUGCGUAGAUAUCAAGAGGAACACCUGAGGUGAAGACGGGUUGCUGGGCCGACACUGACGCUGAAGCGCGAAAGCCAGGGGAGCAAACGGG